CCAACAUUUGUGUAUUUUUUAAAAAUUAACUAUUCUGGUCAAUAUGUAGUGGCAUCUCAUUGAAAUUUUAUUUCUUUUCAUUACUUACGAGUUUGCAUUCUUUUAAAUAUAUUGGCUAUCUAAAGAACCUCUUUGGGUCAGUGGCUGUUCAGGUCUCUUGUCAAACUGAAAAACAGUACCUUGCCAAUCUUUUUAAACAUUUUGAUAGUUCUUAAUAUAUUCUGGAUAUGAUCCCCUUGUUGGUUUCAAGAUGUGGGGAGAAAACAAUUUCUUUUCUUUUCUUUUUUAGGUUCUUAGUUGAGACACUCUUGUGAAAACAAAUGUCAUAUUAAUGCAAGAAAAACAGAAGUUAAUUAACGCAUGGUGUGCCCAUCAGGCCACGAAGACCCUGGAAAGCAAACUUGCACUUAAGGGACAACUGCUGCACAUCUGAUCUAGCCAUUGCCGCUGCCAAAAGUCCCAACUGCCUACAAUGGUAACUGAUGGGGAGGACCUUGGUCUUCAGAAGAUGAAGCAGCCACCUGGUGGCAAGUGGGCAUCAUUGCUCUUUUUCUACCCUGAGGAGAAACAAUUAAUUUUGAUGGAAAUAUGUUACAUUUUUCAGCUCCAGGUUUGCCUUUCCUACUUUUGGGGCUUUAGCCAAAACCCAUAUUCAAGGGCUGACAUGCGUCUGAUCCAUUGAUAUGGUAACCCAUGCAACAUCACAUCAGAGAGCCUACUUAACAGGAAAGGAGGUUUACCAAUGAAAAUAUGAACCAAAAGGUCUACAGGUUCUGUCACAUACUAUACCACCCGGGACCUGCAGGGAUUAUAGAGCAAUGGCAUAGUUCAUGGGAGGCUCAACUGAAGCACAAGCCCGAUAUGAUGCACUGCAAGAUGAGCUGCCAUCCUCCAGGAUGCAAUAUGCAAGUUAAAUCAAGGACUAGUGUGUGGUGCUGUGUCUUCAGUUGUUAGAAUACAUGGGUCUGG
rnacentral:lncRNA from 1 species